UGGAGGAAGGUGUACAUUGUAUAACUACAUCUUUAUUAAGAUCAGUUAUUUAUCCAUUUUUCAUCGGCCAUGGAGCGGAGGAUUUUGAAAAUGUGGUGACAGCGCGUCAGGCAGAUGCCUAUAAACAUCAAGACACUAAUCACAAAAGGUGAUUUGUUUUAUUCCAACCUAAAAUUAUUCCAAGAAGUAAUACUAAGCAUCAAUUUAAAUGUAAUAAGAGAUUAAAAAAUUAUUAUUAUAUAUCGAAGAACUUUAAUGCGUUUGAAAUAUUAAACGUCAUAUCCAAUCUUGAAAAGCAUCGACACUUUUCCUAAGUAGAAGAGAAGGAAAGGACAAGAGAAUUGCAGUUUAUAAUUCACAAGCAUCGUCAAAAUUCAAGAAACCUCAAAGAGUUUUAGCUAAUAUAACGACAGCUAGUCGUAAUACAAACGCAUUCUUAUCAGUGUAUUACAAAAUGCGCUUCAGUCAGGGCAUUGCCAUGGUGUACGAGGACGUGUUUGUUGUAUUUUCGCGUUUUUUGUCACUCAAAUCGAGAGGCUGCGCGCUACUGGAAACACAUCGACAACGCGAAACUACUGGAAUCAAGAAAUUGUAUAACAGUUUCUUUGUUAUGUUCUAAGAUCUGUGGAUAAUACCGCGGUACCAAAAAAUAAGAAAACAACCCUUACUCUCUUUUUAGGAUAUAUUAAAAGAAAAGGGCUUAGUUUUUAUAACUCAGUGAUUAUGCGUGCCUGGUGUGCGCGAACGAAUAAAGAAGACGAAUAUCCUAGGAAACCAGACGACGUGCGAGUAGACGGCGAUCGUUUCGUUUAGAGAUUUUUGGGAUUGUUAAAAAGCAGUCGACCACGCAGCUUUUACUUUUUUUUUCUCUUCUAAUUAGUUCAAUGGAUAUUUGCGAAGAGUUUAACUAAAUAAUAUUUAAAUGAAGUGGGGAGGUGAGAUAAAUGAUAUUGGUAUAUUAAUACGACAAUAGAAAUCUUGCCUUGUUGUCAUGUUAAAAUUUGUAAUAUUUAAUAUAGAAUGCAU